rnacentral:piRNA from 1 species
UCAAGUCACCUGCUUGGCCAUCUUCCAACU